AUGAGGGAGGUCUUCCAAAAGAUCAUGGAAAGUGUGCAUUAUGGGGGAAAAAAAAACUAUGCAUUUGAAACAUUUUUGCAUCCAAAUGGACUUGUACUUGAAUUCAUUUUUCUAAGCUUUUGAAAUGAUUUUGUAUGUGAAGUAGGUGGGUGAGAGACGUCUUUGUUCAAGUCUACAAGCAUUGCUUGGUUGCACUGAGAUAAUUUUAGUUUCUUGCUAAGAUGAGAGGCAUAGAUUCAGACCUCUGUUCUCAGAGAAUCUGGGAUGCAAUUGAGAAAGAACAGGGACAAGUACCUUUCCUAAAAAACACAGUGGAUGUGGGGAGUGUGAGGUUGCAUGUAUGAGUGUCUGUUGGGGUUCGGGAAGCAGGAAAUCACUCUUCAGUUUGAGGUUUGCUCUUUGAUGAGAAGAUAGACAAAAGAUUCAGUUUCCUGACAAAGCCACACCCUUUGGAGGUUGAGGUCCAGAGACUGUCAGCCACCUCUUUCCAACUUACAGGCUUGGAUUCAGCUCUCCUGUCUGGCUAUCCCUGUCCUAUCACCCUGCUGGAGAGAGACUGAGGGACCAGGGAAUGGCACUGCUUUCUGUUCUGUGCUAUUGGGUGCUGAUGGCAGCUGGGAGUACAGACACCAGUGCAAGCCUGGUGGAGCAAAGUCCCAGGUGGGUCUUGGUACCACGUGGUCAAGCUGAGAUUCUGCACUGCAUUCUGAGAAAUUCCCAGUACCCCUGGAUGAGCUGGUACCAACAGGACCUUCAGCGGCAACUCCAGAUGCUAGCUACUCUGCGAAGUCCUCAGGAGAAGGAGGCCAUAUCUUUUCCUGGAGCAGAUUACCAGGUUACACGGGUCAGUGACACUGAACUGAGGCUGCACGUGGCCAACGUGACCCAGAGCAGAACGCUGUACUGCACCUGCAGCAAAGACACAGUGUGA